rnacentral:lncRNA from 1 species
UGAGGAAUCUCCUGAACUUGCCUCUGAGGGAGAGAGGUAGCUGACCUGAGGUGCUGCAAAAAAAGAGGCUGAAAACAGAUGGAGCCUGUUCCAGUGGAUGGCACAAGAAGCACAAAACAGUGUCUACAGGAACAGACUUGGAGGGAUCAUGCUCUGAGCUCACCAUCCUGAGAGCACUAUGGCCAAGGCCAGGCUUGUCGGGCAUUUCGGUGAGGGCUGCAGAUCUAACCUGAAAAAGCCCUAAAGACCAUGGCCUGGACCUACAUCUCUGGUCGAGAGACUGAGCAUUCAGGUGAUGUUGCAGGAAGAUGAGCAGUGCUAGCUGGGAUCU